rnacentral:rRNA from 1 species
UGGGGAAUUUUGGACAAUGGGGGAAACCCUGAUCCAGCCAUCCCGUGUGUGCGAUGAAGGCCUUCGGGUUGUAAAGCACUUUUGGCAGGAAAGAAACGUCAUGGGUUAAUACCCCGUGAAACUGACGGUACCUGCAGAAUAAGCACCGGCUAACUACGUGCCAGCAGCCGCGGUAAUACGUAGGGUGCAAGCGUUAAUCGGAAUUACUGGGCGUAAAGCGUGCGCAGGCGGUUCGGAAAGAAAGAUGUGAAAUCCCAGAGCUCAACUUUGGAACUGCAUUUUUAACUACCGGGCUAGAGUGUGUCAGAGGGAGGUGGAAUUCCGCGUGUAGCAGUGAAAUGCGUAGAUAUGCGGAGGAACACCGAUGGCGAAGGCAGCCUCCUGGGAUAACACUGACGCUCAUGCACGAAAGCGUGGGGAGCAAACAGG